rnacentral:rRNA from 1 species
AUUGAACGCUGGCGGCAGGCUUAACACAUGCAAGUCGAGCGAGCGGCGGACGGGUGAGUAAUGUCUGGGAAACUGCCUGAUGGAGGGGGAUAACUACUGGAAACGGUAGCUAAUACCGCAUACCAUCAGAUGUGCCCAGAUGGGAUUCGCUAGUAGGUGGGGUAAUGUCUCACCUAGGCGACGAUCCCUAGCUGGUCUGAGAGGAUGACCGGCCACACUGGAACUGUGACACGGUCCAGACUCCUACGGGAGGAAGCAGUGGGGAAUAUUGGACAAUGGGCGAAAGCCUGAUGCAGCCAUGCCGCGUGUGUGAAGAGGGCCUUCGGGUUGUAAAGCACUUUCAGCGUGGAGGCGUUACUCGCAGAAGAAGCGCCGGCUAACUCCGUGCCAGCCGCCGCGGUAAUUC